ensembl:misc_RNA 7SK 7SK RNA
GGAUGUGAAGGCGAUCGAUCUGGCUGCGACAUCUGUCACCCCAUUGAUCGCCAGGGUUGAUCUGGCUAAUCUGGCUGGCUAGGCGGGUGUCCCUUUCCUCGUCCACCACUCCAUGUGUGUCCUUCCCAAAGCUGCGCACUUGGUCAAAGAAGAUGACCAUCCCCAAUAGAAGAGAGCCGGUCUUUGGUCAAGGGUAUACAAGUAGCUUCACUCCCCUGCUAGAACCUCCAAACAAGCUCUCAAGAAAACGAUAGUGAAGUUUUUGCUGCAGAAACAUCUAAUAUUGACUUUAAAGUUGUUUGCAUUGCUUUAAUU